GGCGAGGCUCCGGCGAGGAAGGACUUCAAAGGCAGAAUGUUCUCCUCUUUGCGCGGAUCACGGAAAUCAAAUCCGAUUUUCGAUCGGUAAUAGAAAGAAAGAAAAGCCCUAUGAAGUUGAGACACUUAUUGUAGAAGACGGUUAAUGAUAGAAAUAACGAUAUAAAUAUAAAGGUAGAGUUCCGCAAUUGUAUUCCAGUUGGGUUGUAAAUAAAUAAUAAAAGUCCAUAUUAAACAUAUGAACUGUAUUUUAGAUGCA